rnacentral:rRNA from 1 species
UCCAGCAGCCGCGGUAAUACGGAGGGUGCAAGCGUUGUUCGGAUUUACUGGGCGUAAAGAGCGUGUAGGCGGUUUAGCAAGUCAGAUGUGAAAGCCCUGGGCUCAACUCAGGAAGUGCAUUUGAAACUGCUAUACUAGAGUAUGGGAGAGGAGAUUGGAAUUCCCAGUGUAGAGGUGAAAUUCGUAGAUAUUGGGAGGAACACCCGUGGCGAAGGCGGCUCUCUGGACCAAUACUGACGCUGAGACGCGAAAGCGUGGGUAGCAAACAGGAUUAGAUACCCUGGUAGUCCACGCUGUAAACGAUGAGAACUAGGUGUAGCGGGUAUUGACCCCUGCUGUGCCGUAGUUAACGCAUUAAGUUCUCCGCCUGGGGAGUACGAUCGCAAGGUUGAAACUCAAAGGAAUUGACGGGGGCCCGCACAAGCGGUGGAGCAUGUGGUUUAAUUCGAUGCAACGCGAAGAACCUUACCUGGGCUUGAAGUGCAGUUGAAAACUGCCGAAAGGCGGUCCUCCUUCGGGACAACUGUAGAGGUGCUGCAUGGCUGUCGUCAGCUCGUGCCGUGAGGUGUUGGGUUAAGUCCCGCAACGAGCGCAACCCUUGCCCUUAGUUGCCAUCAGGUUAUGCUGGGAACUCUAAGGGGACUGCCCCGGAUAACGGGGAGGAAGGUGGGGAUGACGUCAAGUCCUCAUGGCCCUUACGUCCAGGGCUACACACGUGCUACAAUGGCCGGUACAGCGGGAAGCAAUACCGCGAGGUGGAGCAAAUCUCUCAAAACCGGUCUCAGUUCGGAUUGCAGUCUGCAACUCGACUGCAUGAAGUCGGAAUCGCUAGUAAUCACGGAUCAGCAUGCCGUGGUGAAUACGUUCCCGGGCCUUGUACACACCGCCCGUCA